rnacentral:rRNA from 1 species
GACGAACGCUGGCGGCGUGCUUAACACAUGCAAGUCGAGCGAUGAAACUUCUUCGGAAGUGGAUUAGCGGCGGACGGGUGAGUAACACGUGGGUAACCUGCCUCAUAGAGGGGAAUAGCCUUUCGAAAGGAAGAUUAAUACCGCAUAAGAUUGUAAUGUCGCAUGACAUAGCAAUUAAAGGAGCAAUCCGCUAUGAGAUGGACCCGCGUCGCAUUAGCUAGUUGGUGAGGUAACGGCUCACCAAGGCGACGAUGCGUAGCCGACCUGAGAGGGUGAUCGGCCACAUUGGGACUGAGACACGGCCCAGACUCCUACGGGAGGCAGCAGUGGGGAAUAUUGCACAAUGGGGGAAACCCUGAUGCAGCAACGCCGCGUGAGUGAUGACGGCCUUCGGGUUGUAAAGCUCUGUCUUUAGGGACGAUAAUGACGGUACCUAAGGAGGAAGCCACGGCUAACUACGUGCCAGCAGCCGCCGUAA